GGGGCUGAUUUAGGAUUCGACGGGAAUUCAGAAGUCUGAGGUGCAUGCCGAGGUGCGGUAGGCCUCGUUAACAAACCGCAAAAAA
rnacentral:tmRNA from 1 species